rnacentral:lncRNA from 1 species
UCGUGAGUUGAUUACUCAUUUGUCCACUUACAUACAUUUAAACUUUUAUAAUAUCAAAGUCUUAUUCAUAAUCUGUUCCAAGUACAAAACACUUGCAAGAACGAGAUUGUUAUUUGAGAGUCAAUGAAACAGACUUCAUCAGUUACUCGGUACAUAUAUGUAAUAUCAUGUGAAAUUUACGUGCCACCUCGGCAACGGUUUUUUUCAGAGCAACCACGUCGGUAUUCGUAGAUGAUAGUAGAAGGUAAUGGUAACGGUGGUGAAGCUUAGGUGAUUUCGAAGAAGACAAAGCAAAUAUGUCGUUUAGGUUGAUUUGGGUGACGUGGCCUAAUUCAAUACUAUGAUAGGUCGAUUUAAUUUACCUACGUGGAUAGUCUAGAUGUUGAUCUUAUUCAAUUUUUAGUAUUGUA